rnacentral:rRNA from 1 species
AUGAAGAAAAAGGGGCCCUUCGAGUGGACUGAAGAGGCCGACAAGGCGUUCCAGGAUCUCAAGAGAUACCUGACCAGCCCACCGGUCAUGGUGGCUCCGCGCCCUCAAGAGCCCCUGGUGCUUUACCUCGCCGCCACUCCCUACUCCGCCAACGCAGCCUUGGUGGCAGUCAGAGAGGAGCGCCGAAUAAAAACUGCGGCAGCAGCCUGGGACAAGGCAGAACAGGGACAAGGAAGGCCCACAGAAACUGCCACCGCGGCUGAGGAGGAUCAGCCGCCGCAGAGGGGCACACCGAAGGCGGAAGAGGCCCCUCUCCCAGAUGGCCAGUCUCAGGAGGCCUCAUUGCCUCAAGAGGCGCCAUGGUCUCCGAAGGGAGCCACCAGCACUGACGCACUCCACCUCGUUGAGCACCCGGUGUACUUCGUCAGCACGGUGUUGCGGGAUGCAAGGGCACGGUACCCCAUGCCUUAG